rnacentral:misc_RNA from 1 species
AUGAAAUCAAAAUAUAGAUAUUAAACUAUUGAUUUUUAAAAAAAUAACCUGUGUUCAGACCUCCUUAUCAAAGCAUGGUGAAUAAGAAACAGGGAAUAAAAUUGCCGAAAUUAUGUAGCGGCCCUCGUUGAACAAACUAAAUUUUCUCAUAAAGCUUAGUAUGAACACCCACCUAUCAAAUUAGAGGUUCAAUCUAUUGAGGGUUAAAUCAUGUGGUACAUGGUCAUCUAUACUACUUUUUGUAGCCAUGUUUUCCUUGUCACUUCUAACAACUGGUGGUUGCAUAUGGAACCUUCAUAGUCCACUUAGUUUAGUGCUUCUUUUUCUUGGCAUCAUCAAUGUGGAACAUAAGCUGCAACAUAACCAGAUUUCAGCACAAACACUAGAGGAGGAGAGAGUUUCCAUGUUCAUGACAUUUACCUUUGUCCCAACAUAAAAUGUAAUAAACAUGCUACCCAAUACAGGCAAUCCUUUUUUUGUGAGAAAUUGUGAAAUCAACCAAUUAAUGCCCGAUGGCCCAAUAACAUAGCCAACAAGGUUAGCAACCAUUAGACAAGUGAUAGUGACAGCACCAGCAACUGCACUAAGUUCUCGGAAAAGAAACUCCCCAAAAGUACUCUCUGCCUGUAACCCAUUUGCCACUGAUUUCACCAUCAUUUCUGGAAUAAAGAAUAAACAUGUCAACCAUGCCCAUGAAAGAA